UAGUAUAUAUUUAAAGGUAAGUUCUGCCCUAAGAUUAAAUUUAAAUGGCUGCAGUAUACUGACUGUGCAAAGGUAGCAUAAUAAUUAGUCUUUUAAUUGGAGACUGGUAUGAAUGAAUAAAUGAGAAGCUUAUUUUAUUAUAAUUAAUAUUAAAACUUAAUUUUUAAGUAAGAAAGCUUAAAUAAUUUUUAGGGACGAGAAGACCCUAUAGAAUUUUAAUUUUUUAUUCUUAAUUUUUUUUUAGUUUAAUUUAAUUAUUAUUAUUAAUUUUUAAAUUUUUGUUGGGGUGACAGAUAAAUUUAUCUUUAUUUUUAAAAAUCAUACAUCUAUGUAUUAUUGAUCCAGUAUUAAUCUGAUUAUAAAAUUUAAUUACCUUAGGGAUAACAGCGUAAUUUUUAUGGAGAGUUCACAUUUAUAUAAAAGUUUGCGACCUCGAUGUUGAAUUAAGAUAAUUUUAUGGUGCAG
rnacentral:rRNA from 1 species